rnacentral:rRNA from 1 species
ACGCUCGACACCUACGGAGGCAGCAGUAGGGAAUCUUCCACAAUGGGCGCAAGCCUGAUGGAGCAACACCGCGUGAGUGAAGAAGGGUUUCGGCUCGUAAAGCUCUGUUGUUGGAGAAGAACGUGCGUGAGAGUAACUGUUCACGCAGUGACGGUAUCCAACCAGAAAGUCACGGCUAACUACGUGCCGGCAGCCGCGGUAAUCUGAGCGGGCUGGCAAGGC